GGGCUCCACCGGCUGGCUUCCUCCACCUCCACCUUCACUCCCGGGGACGCUGGCGGCUCGAACCCGGACUCAGCCCGGGGAAUCUCCCCAAGAAAGGAAGGAGCACCAGCCCUGGAGUUAGAUCUGCCUUUGGAUGACUGUCCUAAUCUCUCCAGAGCCAUAUCCUCCCCUGUAAGAGAAGAGCCACCAGACAUCACCGACUUGGCCAGUAGAGCAGCCAUAUUGUAAGGACACUCAAGCUGCCCUAUGAAGAAGCCCACAUGGCAAGGAACUGACACAACAAAACCUUGGCAGGUACCUCCAGCCACAUACACCUGCAGCCCCAGCUGCUCCCAGAUUCUGACCCAAAGAAACCGAGAUGGGUCUCAAGCUGCCUGGAGCCCAACACGCAAGGCCUGGACAUGUCCCUGACUUCCUACCCCCCAGAGACCAUUCCACCCACCCAUGGUCAACACCCAGCUCUCCUGGGCUGGCUUUUCCACCUGCCCAAGCCAAGGCCCUUCACGCAGAACGCGGUGGGGGGCGGGGGCACAAACCCACCGGCUGCAACUGUUCCAAAGGACAGGCGGGCUCCGCAAAUGAGCCGAUCCUACGGGGGAGUCCCCCAAUGAUGCAGGAAAGCCGGUCCUGGCUGAAAGCCCCCAAAGGGAGCAGUGAAUUUAGCGCAAAGAAAAGGACUUAAAUGACACAGAGCACGCUUGUACAUCGUAUCUAAGAGGUGGUC